AGUGAACGCUGGCGGUAGGCCUAACACAUGCAAGUCGAACGGCAGCACAGUAAGAGCUUGCUCUUACGGGUGGCGAGUGGUGGACGGGUGAGGAAUACAUCGGAAUCUACUUUUUCGUGGGGGAUAACGUAGGGAAACUUACGCUAAUACCGCAUACGACCUACGGGUGAAAGCAGGGGAUCUUCGGACCUUGCGCGAUUGAUUGAGCCGAUGUCGGAUUAGCUAGUUGGGGGGGUAAAGGCCCACCAAGGCGACGAUCCGUAGCUGGUCUGAGAGGAUGAUCAUCCACACUGGAACUGAGACACGGUCCAGACUCCUACGGGAGGCAGCAGUGGGGAAUAUUGGACAAUGGGCGAAAGCCUGAUCCAGCCAUACCGCGUGGGUGAAGAAGGCCUUCGGGUUGUAAAGCCCUUUUGUUGGGAAAGAAAAGCAGCAGGUUAAUACCCCGCUGUUCUGACGGUACCCAAAGAAUAAGCACCGGCUAACUUCGUG
rnacentral:rRNA from 1 species